rnacentral:misc_RNA from 1 species
CACUAAUCUCAUCUUCCUCAUCAAUCUCACAGAUUGGUGGGUUGACCCCAAGACCUAAUAGCAACCGCUUUACUACAUGGCUCAUGCAGCACCCACGCCUAGCAAACACUAUAAUCGCAUUCUCUUGAACCAUAGUGGCCAUAUUUUUAGACCCUUUUAAGACUUGUUUAGUAUCAACAAGAUUAUUAGUAGAGGUGUUGGCUAGAGGAUUGUUGGUGUUGGUGUAUAAGGGCACCCAAGACUUGUAAGGGAUUGCUUGUUGCAUCUUUGCUUAGCUGGAGAUGAACAAAUCAAUGAAAAAACAGAGAGAGAGAGAGAGAGAUUUGAAAUGGGCAAAGGGUAGUUUGUGU